GAUGAACGCUGGCGGCGUGCCUAAUACAUGCAAGUCGAGCGAACAGACGAGGAGCUUGCUCCUCUGACGUUAGCGGCGGACGGGUGAGUAACACGUGGAUAACCUACCUAUAAGACUGGGAUAACUUCGGGAAACCGGAGCUAAUACCGGAUAAUAUAUUGAACCGCAUGGUUCAAUAGUGAAAGACGGUUUUGCUGUCACUUAUAGAUUGAUCCGCGCCGCAUUAGCUAGUUGGUAAGGUAACGGCUUACCAAGGCAACGAUGCGUAGCCGACCUGAGAGGGUGAUCGGCCACACUGGAACUGAGACACGGUCCAGACUCCUACGGGAGGCAGCAGUCGGGAAUCUUCCGCAAUGGGCGAAAGCCUGACGGAGCAACGCCGCGUGAGUGAUGAAGGUCUUCGGAUCGUAAAACUCUGUUAUUCGGGAAGAACAAAUGUGUAAGUAACUAUGCACGUCUUGACGGUACCUAAUCAGAAAGCCACGGCUAACUACGUG
rnacentral:rRNA from 1 species